AUGUAUUAUCCUAUAUGUGUAUAUUGCGUCGUGUGAGAAGCAACUACGAGAGCUUUUCUAAAUACGCGUCUCUAAUAGAGAUUAGACGAGCGAUAAUAACUGAUUUAUACGGAGAAUCUUUCCCCGACCUUCCUAAUCGUCAGAGUUAUAGAUUAACUGGACGCUAUGAAUAAGAGUCAGCACAAGGCUAGGAUACCAUCGGAGUUUAUUAAUGCAAAUUAAUGGGAGAACGCGCAUUCUUUUAUAGGAUCCCGUGCAGCUUGUAAGAAUGUGCUGGAUAGCCCCGAUUGAGGCAUAGCCAGUGAUAUUGAUAAGACUCGAUUAUUUUACUGCUAAGUGAAAAUGCUUUGUUGCGAUUGACUGUAGAUUUCUCCCGAACUAUCCACGAACGUAUUAAUGAAUUAGGAAAGGAAAAUGGAAAGAAAAGAGUUUAAGUAAAAAAUGUUAGGAAAAUGAAAGCAGCAUCCUUAUUGAUAGUGAGCGUGCUAAGAUAGUUUAUUCGAAAUGUUUAAACAGUCUCAUGUAUGAUACUUUGUCUUGGUGACUGUGUGGACUCAUGAGAGUUGCAUUGAUAUUUGAAGGAUAAGCGCCAGACAAACCCUUGGCUCGUCACACCUAAGAGUCUACUUUCACAGUUUAUUUAUUGCCCAUUUCGGCAUAUUAUUGAAGACUAGCAAGUAUCCAAGGAGUUCCCAAAAGCAGAUAUUUCGAAUAGUAAUAUAUAUAUGACUCUUAGGAGAAAGAACUGUGAAUAACUGAGGGACACACGUGUACGUCACAGUAUAUGAUACAUAUAUACAUAGAUAUAUAUAAUAGAAAGAUAUAUUUU